rnacentral:rRNA from 1 species
UAGAGUUUGAUCCUGGCUCAGGAUGAACGCUGGCGGCGUGCCUAAUACAUGCAAGUCGAACGGGAACCUUGGAUUCGUCUGAGGGGAGAGUGGCGGACGGGUGAGUAACACGUAGGCGACCUGCCCCGGAGAGGGGGAUAACGGCCCGAAAGGGCUGCUAAGACCCCAUAAGCUCACGAUGAUUAGAAAGCCGUGAGAAAAGGCAGUGUGCUCCGGGAGGGGCCUGCGGCCCAUCAGCUGGUUGGCGGGGUAAUGGCCCACCAAGGCGACGACGGGUAGGGGGCCUGAGAGGGUGGUCCCCCACAUGGGCACUGAGACACGGGCCCAACUCCUACGGGAGGCAGCAGUAAGGGAUAUUGCACAAUGGGCGCAAGCCUGAUGCAGCAACGCCGCGUGCCCGAUGAAGGCCUUCGGGUCGUAAAGGGCUUUUCUGGCUGAUGAGGGCGGCUUCGGCCGCUGGACAGUAGGCCAGGAAGAAGUGUCGGCUAACUACGUGCCAGCAGCCCCGGUCAA